UGCAGAGUUGGCACGUGUUUCUAUAGUAAAGUUGUAUCAGGCGCGCCCAUUUGUUCGAAAUGAAAUCUCCGUGAAAGUUCUCUCCAAAACCUGUAUGGUUUGGUCCUUUGGCGAUACAUUCAACCAUGGUUUCACAGAUGGAGAGUUUUUUCCGGAAGCGAAGGUGACGAUGGGACCCACCCACUCCAACCACAACAGAGAUUGAAGAUGAAAUCAAAUCAGACACCGCCACUGCUGGGCUUCUGUCAAUUGCAAAUGCUUGCCCUGAAACAAACAGGGCUGCUGUCAAUCUUUUUUGCUUAUUUUGUGCCGAUUAUUUUCAUUGUCAUCGCAAUAUGGAUGGCUGUUGUUUUGUUCAAGAUUAUUGAGAGAUUGGCCUUUAUUCUUUGUUGUUUUGCACUCCCAAUUUUUCACUUGCUGUCGUUAUAGCAGAGAAGUUAGUACAAAUGAAUUAUAUCUCUGAACUGCUUCUAAUGUCACUUUUGGAUCUGUCCAUGUCAACCAAAGAUAAUACGAGACCGCCGUGCGACUAGCUUUUCCUCCUCUCUACUAGCUGGGCGUGUGGCUUGGCUUGGCUUGGCUUAGCUGCUUACAAUUUUGGUUUUGUUUAGUUUCAAGUUUCAAUUGCAUCAAUCUCAUUCAAUUUCAUUUUCUAAUUACUGCAGUUUUUUUAUUCCAUCUGGUAAUCUUGGUUUCACAUGUUAGGUUGUAAUGUUAAUAUUUGGUCCAGAGGUUUUCAAUAAACAUGUGUAUACUUGCUAGUUGGUACCAUCUUGUGUUG